rnacentral:misc_RNA from 1 species
UCUUCUUCCUAUUUCACAAAGCUAACCAGUCGGCACAACUAUUAGUCUCUCAAAAAACAUGAGAAUGACAGUCCAAUCCAACUGCAAAAAGCUUUUACAGUGACAAAAAUAGCCCUGCACAAAACAGGAACCUCCAAUGGGCCCUCGUAAUAGAAAUAAUCUCCGAACAAUCACAUUCCACGAUAACCCUGUUCACACCCAGCAGCUAAUACAUGCGCCAUUGCAUAAGAAUGCCAGCAUUGCAAACAAUGGAAAUAUUUUGCUAAGGGCUCCCAAAAGUAUAGGAGAAGAUACUAGAAAUGCUUUGUUAGGAAAAAGAAAUUGGGAAGACAGCCAGCCUUCAGUCAUUCUUUUUGGCUCCAGUAAUUUUUUGCGACAUAUCAGAUUUCAGUUUGCACCCAAAAGACACAGCUUCCAAAAACUUAGCAUCAAUUGCUUGUUCAUGUUUCUCGUAAAUAGAGAAUGCCAUAAAAGCAACAGGAAGUCCUAUAAUAAAGAAACUCUGAAAUUUAAUGGCUCCAAUGAAGCUAAGAAUCAAGAGCAACAGAACAACCUUAAGGAACAGCAUCCAGUCAUUCCCCUUGCAAAGAGAUUUCAAGACAUUAACAGAAGCAUUCCAUGAUGAAGCCACUGAAAGAGCAACUUGGUGAGACUUAUCUUCUGACAAGUGGAAAUAUGAUACUGGAAUUUUUUCAAUUGUAUAUCCAAAUAUUCUCUCUGGUAAAUUUCCAUGGACAAACAGGAAGACUGAUACCACCAACAGAAGCUUUGAAAGCGCAUUAAUUAUGGUAGACUGAGAUGCAACAAAGUUGUAGUAAAUUGCAAUUAGAAUUAACAAUGUCAUCAGUGUCUGCCUUUUAUCCUUCCAAAGUAGUGUGUCAGCGACCCUUCCACCUCCAAGACAUCUGUGAGCCUUAGAUGGUCCUUCUCUUUUCGGUUGAUUAUCGGCCCUCAAGUGCGUAAAUGACUCUAGAGUCCUUUUCAAACCUUCCUCAAGUGAUAUGAUGGGCGCGUAGCCAAGUCGGUCCUUUGCUUUUGAGCAACUAAAUGAUCUGCUACAAGAGAGGAGUCUAAUUCUUGAAGGUAUCAACUGUGGAACCUUCAUCCCAUAUGGGCCCAAUAGCUUAUAUGUCCACUCCACUACAUGUGCUAAUGGCAUCAUAGCAAAAGCAGGGAUCUUUAUCCUUGGCCUCUCAUAGCCAAGACCUCCCACCACAAGUGAGGUAAACUCCCAGAACUUAAUGGGCUCCAUGUUAGUUAUAAAAUAAGCCUGCCCAGCAGCUUUCUCUGCAACCUCCCCUCCUGAUGCUAGAGCUCGUUCAGCACAUAUGUGUGCAUGUGCCACAUUUUCGACAUAUGUGAAAUCAUAAAUGUUAUUGCCAUCACCGAUUAUGAACUUGGAUUUCCCAGCCCUUGCUGCAGCAAUCAAAGAUGGAACGAACAACCUAUCUCCAGGGCCAAAUAUGCUGCUAGGGCGUAAGCUACAUGUGAGAAGCCCAUUAGUACCAUUUGCCUUUAUUACUGCAGCCUCACCUUCAGAUUUAGUUGCUGUAUAUGAAUCAAGGGGCUUAGUUGGAUAUGGCAAGGAUUCAUCUCCGUUAAAAAUUCCAUGAAUCCCAUCAAAAACCACGCUAGCUGAGCUAGUAUAGAUAAGCCUCUUCACUUUUAGUUCAACACAAGCAUCAAUAACAUUCUUUGUCCCUUGUACGUUGACCGAAUAGUGGAGCUGGUAGCUAUUAACUGAAGAGUUAGGGGCCGCCAUGUGGAACACAACCUCAGCUCCUUCAAUAGCUUUGAGAACUUGGGCCCUGUCGCGGAGAUCCGUAGACACAUACUUAGCGCGGCCAGAUUUCAAGGCUUCACCAAUGGUUCCGCUCUCCUCCUCCGCGCUUAGUUGAAUGGCAGGCUCCAAAUCAGCAAUUCGAACUAAAAACAAGUCGUAUCGAAUCAGCAUUUCCACCAAAUGCCUCGCUGCGAAACCCCUGCCUCCAGUGACCACGCACCACCUCUCUUCCCCCGACAUAUUCGAAUCAGUCAAUCGAUCCGGUGAUAAAAGAUAGAGACACUAUAAGGGAAUGUUGGUGAGGUUUGAGGUUUCGGUCUCUGCUGCUUGGGAGCCGAUGGGAUCUCGGUUUGCAGGAUCUCGGAGCUUGACUGCCAGUACGGGACGGAACUGAGAAACACUGGGAAAAAAAUAGAUUCUAGAGGACGGCUACGGUGUUGGUGGUGGACUGGGGUGUGUAUGCGCGUGGCUUUAGUGGCUAGCUUCGUUGUAAAU